GUUGUCAAUGUUGUUAAAUAACAAUUUCUCUUUGUUUUAGACAUUCCAAUUACAGAUGCUAUCACCUUCUGGUACAAUUAUCAUUCCAAGUGGUCAAAUAACACAAGUUUUAAGGGUCACUAAUCCUAGCAAAGCAAUACUUAGGAUGCGUAUAAGACUGUCGUAUGUAUUAGAUGGUACUCCUGUACAAGAACAAACCGAGGUAAACAAUUUUCCCACGGACAUUUGGGAUUGACGGAAGCUAGGUUAAAAAGUUCAUCAUUUGCAACAUCCUACGACUAUUUUUUUUUGUCGCUGAGAGUAAUAUUCUCCUGGUAUUUGUAAAUAAUUCGUGUUCUUCAUAUCUGCAAUUUUUGAGUACUUAAUUCGUCCACUAGUUAUUUUUAAUCUUUGUUAUUGCUACGAAUAAUUUCUAUUGCUUAUGGUAAGAUGUUGGGACAUAUUAAUUUGUUUCCAUGUAUUUAUUUGUUUUCUCUUGUUUUUUUGAUAAUCAUAUUACCGGAUUCAUGAAAAAUAAUAAAGGAAUACCACAUUUAACACUGUUUUGAAAAACGGGCACGUGUUUCGCUCACUUUGAUUGUGGGCAAUAAUCGUUGAGGCAUUGAUAAAUAAUCACUGUGGAUGGAACACGUAUCCGUUCAUCAAAAAACUGUUGAGAUAUUUAAAGGUGAGUCUGUUUUAGUUAUUUACUGGAUAUAUUGCAAACUGUUUUUCCUGUUUGAUUUCAUCAAUAAUUAGAAAUUUGCAGGUGUUCCAUACAUCAAAAUUUUUUAGAACUGACGGCAUAUUUUUACUCAACUUAGUUACCGUAAUAUUGGUAUAAACGGCACUUAUUCAGAUAUUUUUGCUAGGGAACUAGUCGUAAGAAAUUAAUGAGUAUUUAAAUUGUAAGAAGAUAUCAGUAUUUUAAUACACAAAUGGUAGUUCCAACCAUUUUUCAACUA